rnacentral:rRNA from 1 species
AUUGAACGCUGGCGGCAUGCUUUACACAUGCAAGUCGAACGGCAGCACGGGUUUCGGCCUGGUGGCGAGUGGCGAACGGGUGAGUAAUAUAUCGGAACGUACCCAAGAGUGGGGGAUAACGUAGCGAAAGUUACGCUAAUACCGCAUACGAUCUAUGGAUGAAAGUGGGGGAUCGCAAGACCUCAUGCUCCUGGAGCGGCCGAUAUCUGAUUAGCUAGUUGGUGAGGUAAAGGCUCACCAAGGCGACGAUCAGUAGCUGGUCUGAGAGGACGACCAGCCACACUGGAACUGAGACACGGUCCAGACUCCUACGGGAGGCAGCAGUGGGGAAUUUUGGACAAUGGGCGCAAGCCUGAUCCAGCAAUGCCGCGUGAGUGAAGAGGGCCUUCGGGUUGUAAAGCUCUUUUGUCAGGGAAGAAACGGUGGGAGCUAAUAUCUCCCACUAAUGACGGUACCUGAAGAAUAAGCACCGGCUAACUACGUGCCAGCAGCCGCGGUAAUACGUAGGGUGCAAGCGUUAAUCGGAAUUACUGGGCGUAAAGCGUGCGCAGGCGGUUUUGUAAGUCUGACGUGAAAGCCCCGGGCUCAACCUGGGAAUUGCGUUGGAGACUGCAAGGCUUGAAUCUGGCAGAGGGGGGUAGAAUUCCACGUGUAGCAGUGAAAUGCGUAGAGAUGUGGAGGAACACCGAUGGCGAAGGCAGCCCCCUGGGUCAAGAUUGACGCUCAUGCACGAAAGCGUGGGGAGCAAACAGG